GUCAGCAUGAACCCCACUGAAGUGAAGAAGACAAGACAGCAUUGAUAUUGCUUUGCAUCGCGGACGACAGAGAAAUGAUAGGAAAUUCAGUUUUCAAUGUGUUGCGAAGGUUUCUUCUUCAACGUCAAGUUUCAUUUCUACGUUCUUCACAGUCUCAGCUGAAAAAUACCCUAUUUUUACCCUCAAAAUCGUUCUCAUCAUCAGCAUCUGUAUUCCCAAAUAACCCAUUUACAAUAAUCAUAUUCCCAUCUCCUCCGCUCAGAAGUCCCCAUUCUUUCAGCCCGGAGAGGCCUCUGCUCAUCCCCAGAUGGCCCAAAGGGAAGAAUCCAGAAGGCAGCCCAGGAGGUGAGGAUAUUAGCCCAGCUGGGAGCAAAAAGAAAGACCAAAUGGGUGAGGGCAGAUUGGACAGUUCACCAAAGCAGCUGAAAUUAGUUGAAGUUUCCUUUCCAGAAUCAAGAGAAGAAUCCUUAGUGGUGGGGUCCAUUUAUGGUUAGAAGGCUGCGCAUAUAUUGAGAAAAACGCAUGGAAUAGAAAGGCAGAAGAUAUUGCUCAGAGUAUUGCUGCUGGUUGAGAGAAAUUGAUUGGAGAGGACUGGCUCUGGAAACCCAGCAUAUUUAUUGCUCAUUUCUAUUGUUCUUGUUGUUGCCUUUUGUGGAUUCUUGUUUUCUUUGUUUAACUCAUUAUUGCAGACUGGGCAUAUUACUGAAGUUAUUGUUACAUUAUAGCCAUGAAAUGAAAUAUUAAAUUCUGCUCAAUUUAAUCUCAAUACAAAACUGUUCAAAUGUAUAAUUGAUGUCAGGCCAAUGAGGGUGAACAUAUAACUCUGUUUGUUUCCUUUCUUUCCUUACCGUGAAUGAAAGUUUGGGGGAUGUUGAUUGAGUUGUAGUUGGAAAGAUACUGGGAUAUUGAAUCUGUAGGAAGAAGCUGUGUCUGGAACCUGCUGGAGGAGCUGUUGAGAGCUGCUGGAACCAUCAGCUAGGUGGAUAAUUGGCCAUCCUUACAGGUGCCUCCAAUAUAUCCCUCACCAAGUCAGGAGAAGAGUUCAAUAGUUCACUUAGCAAAGCUAAAGGCAGGUUUAUAUCUCUUUUCGUAGAAGAGUUGAGUGCGAAAUACCCUCAUGCAAAGACAUAUAAGAUUGACAUGGAUCAGGUAGGAUCCAUGUUAGUGCCAUGUAAUUUUUUAUUCAUUGGAAGGUACAUAUUGUAUUUGCUGUACAUUAUAUCUAUCCAGGAUAUUUUUCUACUCAAUGUUAUAAUAUUUUUCUUCUUCCAUUUCCUUUUCCCUUUUGUUGUGGAGAUCAUGAGUGUGUAGAUUAUCGAAUUAGACAUACUGUAAAAAUAUAGAUUUUUUGUCAUGUUGCUGCCUUUGAGUUAUUUACGUAAUCUGCAGCAAAGUAUGUGAAUCUUUUUUAUUCCCCAGUAAAAAUAGUUCUGUAUAACCACUUACUAAACACAAUACAUUGAUGGAAGUUCUAUUGUGAUGAUUUUUUUAAUCUGGCGGGGCUGAAAUCUAUGCUGCAAUCUCCUUACAUAAACCACCAUUUUGGAUAGUGCUGUUAUGAAUAAUGUAUGAGAUGAAGUCUGGAUUUGGAGGUUGGUUAUUCUAGUUUCUAUCUAGUUAUCAUUAGAUGUAAUGCCUGCCUAUGAAGGAGAUAAAUUUAUUUUGCUUGAUGAUAGUGUAACUGUCUUUAAAAAAGGUUGGUUGAACUAACAUGGUCAUUCUAUUGCAGGAAGGCCUUGGAAGCACAUUGGGCAAGCUAAAUAUCACUGCUGUGUUUGAAGUAAUGUGCAUGCUGCUGAAUGUUGGUUGGCAAUUUCAUUUUAGCCUAACUAGUCACACCAUUUCUUUGUUGCUACUCUGCAACUUUUCUUUGUGCUGCAGCCAACACUUAUUUUUCUUUAAUAAUGGGGAAAAGGCAGCUGAAAUAAUUGGUUCUGAUGUUGCACACUUGAAGGGCACUAUGGGAAAACUUUACAGCCCUCUUAUGAAACUUUGCAUCAGCUCAAACGAACUCGAAUUCGAAUUAGACAUUAUGGAUAUGGACCGAUGCAUUACAAUUUUUGGCUUGAGCGUUGCAUCAUAUCCUAAAUUAAUCACACAAUGUUUUUCUGGAUGCUACGUAGAACCUUUCUUUUGAGCAUUUCUUCAUACUUUUCAUUCCAGGAAGGACUAAAUGAAGAGAGAAGUUCUGAGGAAGUAUUUUUCGCAAGCAUUUUCUGAAUAGAUUAGCUUGUAAUGUUCUCUAGGCUGAAAGAUUGAGGAAAUACGAAACCAUCUCCCUUAAAGCUUAAACUUCAAAUUCAAGUGGCAUAUGCUGCAAGAGAAGGGGCAUGGAUCUAGUUGAGAGAAGAAUGUCAGAAUGAUGGGAACAGAAUAAUUGACUGAAUAGGGGAACAGCUAGGGCUAUAAGUAGAGCUUCAGAAGCAGAUGAAUAAGGAUAAGAGCAGGUAGUCCAGAUGAAUGGUCAAAAGAUUGGGACAAGACAAUCAUAGAGCCAGUCUGAAAGCAUCUGAUUUUGUAACAGUUUUUCGGUCCAUUUCCAUCUCAAAUUUAUAUAUUUCCCCAAUGACAAUAUCUACUUCAUACAUAUUCAUAUUUAGCCAUGGCGAAAAA